CAUAGAGGAACUUCUACUAAAACCGUCCACGUCCUGUGGACAACAUAGAAGUCAGCACAUCGUGUGCA
rnacentral:sRNA from 1 species